rnacentral:tRNA from 1 species
GUCUUUUGAGCUCAGUUGAUAGAGCAUGGUGUGUGCAACGCCAGGGUUGUGGGUUCGAUUCCCACGGGGGGCC